GACGGAGGAUGCAAGUGUUAUCCGGAAUCACUGGGCGUAAAGCGUCUGUAGGUGGUUUAAUAAGUCAACUGUUAAAUCUUGAGGCUCAACCUCAAAAUCGCAGUCGAAACUAUUAGGCUAGAGUAUAGUAGGGGUAAAGGGAAUUUCCAGUGGAGCGGUGAAAUGCGUAGAGAUUGGAAAGAACACCGAUGGCGAAGGCGCUUUACUGGGCUAUUACUAACGCUCAGAGACGAAAGCUAGGGUAGCAAAUGGG
rnacentral:rRNA from 1 species